AUUGAACGCUGGCGGCAGGACUAACACAUGCAAGUCGAGCGGAGCGGCGGACGGGGGCGGAAUGCCUAGGAAUCUGCCUGGGAGUGGGGGAGAACGUCCGGAAACGGGCGCGAAUACCGCAUACUAUCAGAUGAGCCUAGUUCGGAUUAGCUGGUUGGUGGGGUAACGGCCCACCAAGGCGACGCUCCGUAACUGGUCUGAGAGGAUGAUCAGUCACACUGGAACUGAGACACGGUCCAGACUCCUACGGGAGGCAGCAGUGUGGAAUAUUGGACAAUGGGCGAAAGCCUGAUCCAGCCAUGCCGCGUGUGUGAAGAAGGUCUUCGGAUUGUAAAGCACUUUAAGUUGGGAGGCGUUACCAGCAGAAUAAGCACCGGCUAACUUCGUGCCAGCAGCCGCGGUAAUUC
rnacentral:rRNA from 1 species